UUGCGCAGCUUUUUUUGGAGACUUUCUAAAAAUAAACUGCAAUCUAAGAAUAGCUCUUGAUUUAAGGGCCACAUUGAAGAGCAGGUCAGAGAAAAGGGUCGGUGUAGCAGAUAGCAAAUGUCAAGCAGCAGCAGGCAAACUGGAAACUCUGGAUUCUUCAGGCAUUGUACCUUCGUGGGCACGAAGCAAAAGCAGACAUGGCCGACAGUGAGAUGAAUCUCGUCAUUGAAGAACUCCAGGCUCUCGACAUCCAGAAACUCCUGUCCAGACAGAGGUACCUGAGAGAUUUGAAGGCUCAUCUGCUGGAAAAAUCAUCCCCGACAUCUGAAAUCGAUGCAGCACAUCGAGUUUCAGUUUAAAUCAACUCCACACUGUGCCUCUCACCUCCAAGGCCAAAUGAGCUUUACCCCUGCGCCUCAUCGUCGGAGCGACGACAUCAAUGAUGAAGACCUCGGCUUGUUUCAGCUAUGCAGGCGAAGGUUAAAGGCUAGAACAUCUCCAUCGGCACAGGCAAGCAUCUCCACCCAGAACCGGUUCGACCCUCUCCAUGACUCCAGUUUGCCUUAAACCUCGGGUGAUGUAUUUGUGAUUGGAGAUUCAAUUGUACAAAACCUAAACAUUGCAUGCCCUAAUCAGAAAUCUUUUGUUUCUUGUUUUCCCGGUGCUCACGUCCGAGAUAUUAUGAGACGGCCGCCAACAGUCUUCAAAAGGCACAAGAACAGGGCAGUGGGAUCCAUUGUAAUACACGCCGGGGUAAAUGACGUGAGACACCGACAGUUGGAGAUUCUCCAGGCAGACUUCACAGCAUUAAUCAAAGCCACAAAAGAGAGGACCCUGUCUGCAAGAAUCUUCAUUUCAGGUUCCCUACCUCUCAUUAGAAGAUCAAACGAGUAUUACAGUCGUCUGCUGGCAUUAAACAUCUGGCUGAAAGGCUUCUGUGAGAGUCAAAACAUCGGGUUCGUAGACAACUGGGACCUCUUCUGGGAGAGGCCGCGUUUCUUCAAGCGGGAUGGUCUGCCCCCAUAUAGAUUCGGCGCCCAGGUCCUCUCCGAAAACAUCACUAAGUUUUCUGUGUGCCACCACCACCUAAUCAAAGCA